rnacentral:rRNA from 1 species
AAAACUCUCAGCAACGGAUCUCUUGGCUCUGGCAUCGAUGAAGAACGCAGCGAAAUGCGAUAAGUAAUGCGAAUUGCAGAGUUCAGUGAGUCAUCGAAUUUUUGAACGCACAUUGCGCCUGCUGGUCCUCCAGCAGGCAUGCCUGUCCGAGCGUCACUAGUACGCUGCGUGCUGCGGUGAUUCGCGGCGCGCGUGUUGGAGGAUGGCGGCGCGCCACCUCUCAAAUGCAGCAGCCGCCUGCAGCGCUCUCCCCGCAGUACUGAUCUCGGGAGGGCGCCGGCCCGGCGGGCUGGCGGGCACGAGCGCGAGCACUGACGCGUUGACCUCGGCUCAGGCAGGACUACCCGCUGAACUUAAGCAUAUCAAUAA